rnacentral:rRNA from 1 species
ACAAAUCAAAACAAAACUUUCAACAACGGAUCUCUUGGUUCUGGCAUCGAUGAAGAACGCAGCGAAAUGCGAUAAGUAAUGUGAAUUGCAGAAUUCAGUGAAUCAUCGAAUCUUUGAACGCACAUUGCGCCCCCUGGUAUUCCGGGGGGCAUGCCUGU